AGGUUUUAAUCGUUGUAUCAGACAGGAGGCGGAGACGUGUCCUUUCCUGGCUGAACUUGCAAGAGGUGUCAGUAGGACGACAGACAGACUUUAUUAAAGUUUCUGCCCUGCUGGUGUCCCGCUCCAGUCAUGGCCCCCAGCGUGCAACUGAAGGAGGCGAUAGCCGAUGUGCAGGAGGGGAUCCGUGCCAUCCUUCUCGGACCCCCCGGAGCUGGGAAGGGGACUCAGGCCCCGCGGUUAGCAGAGCGGUACUGUGUGUGCCACCUUGCCACUGGGGACAUGCUGAGGGCCAUGGUGGCCUCAGGCUCGGAGCUUGGGAAGAGGCUCAAGGAGACCAUGGACGCUGGCAAACUGGUCAGUGAUGACAUGGUGGUGGAGCUCAUAGAGAAGAACCUGGACUCUCCGCCCUGCAGAAACGGCUUCCUGCUGGAUGGAUUCCCUCGCACAGUCAAGCAAGCAGAGAUGCUGGACAAUUUGUUGGACAAGCGACACGAGAGCCUGGACUCAGUGAUCGAGUUCGCCGUCGACGACUCCAUGUUGGUCCGCAGGAUCUGUGGCAGACUAAUUCAUCAGCCGAGUGGUCGCUCCUACCACGAGGAGUUCAACCCCCCCAAAGAGCCCAUGAAGGAUGACCUGACAGGCGAGCCGCUCAUCCGCCGCAGCGACGACAACGAGAAGACCCUGCAUUCCCGUCUGGACGCCUACCACCGGCAGACCGUCCCUCUGGUGAAGUACUACAGCGCCCGGGGCCUGCAUACGGCAGUCAACGCCUCCCUGAGCCCAGACGUCGUCUUCGCCUCCAUCAUAGCAGCCUUCUCCAACGCCAUGGAACUCCCUGCCCGCGCCGUCGCCUGUAAAGACCAAGUGUCCUUCAUUUAAACCCUUUUUCCUCCUCCUUCCUCCUUGGAGAUUAUACAAGAGCUGAUCAAGUUUAACAGUGGCAACAAAAUGUACCUUUGCAAUCCAAAACAUGGAAGAUGGAGACUCAACGUGGCAGCAGUGAUCCCUUUUGUAGAAACAGAAAGGCUUUAACGCUUUGUUUCUCUUCAUCACAGUAUCAAGUCUGAGAACUAACCAGUAAUCACAAUGCAAGCUGAGCUCUACGCUGCUUCUGUGCCUUUCGUUUAUAUCGAAACAAGAUGAAAUGUUUUGACAUUUAGCAGCGCGGAAUGCCAUGCACUUUCCUACAGAUGCUUUUCACCAGAAGGCGUUUGAAAGUAUUGACGUUCGCCGCACAUUGUUUGCCCUCGCUGGACAGCUGGUUGAAGCUGAGCGGCUACAUUCCCACCAUGGAGGAGGUUUGGAUCUGGAAAAGACCUCUUGUUGGUUGACAAAGGGGGGUUCAGUUAAUGGGAAUCCUUAGACUUUUUAUAAGUUAAGGUAAAUGUUGUGGUGCUGUCGGGCUCGCAGUUGUAUGUUCACCCUUCUAAUAAAAAUCAUGCUUUCCUACAACAUUUA